GAAGAGCUUCGGCUCUGAAUAUCUAUGGCUAGAUAAAGUACAAGUCGUAACAAGGUUUCAGUUGGAGAACCAGCUGAAGGAUCAUU
rnacentral:rRNA from 1 species